rnacentral:rRNA from 1 species
AUGUCGCUCCGGCGCCUCAUCGGCAUAUCCUCCGCCGCAGUCUCCGUCCGCUCCCUCUCCGGGCGCCUCCCCCACACCUUCUCCACCGCUGCCGCCUCCUCGCACCCGCCAUGGGCCGUCAUCGACCGCACGACAAGGGUCGACAGGUCGUCGUCGGCCCCGGGCGCGUGCUUCCGCCCCGUCGAGCCCCCGGCCGUCUCCCGCGUCUCCGCCCCGGCGCACCUCAUCGAUCCCAGCCAACGCCCCGGCGCGGGCAGCACCAACGUCCUCCAUCACCUCGGCGGCAACGUCGUCCAGCUCCUCUUCGGCACCGUCGACGCCGCCAGCGGCGACGGCCACCUCCUCCUCAGCUACCACGACCACCGAGCCGAGGGCCCCUGCACCACCUGGGAUCUGACGGGGGACCCCGAAAUUCACCGCUUCGUCUGCAACCCCCUCACCGGCCAGAUGCUCCGCCUGCCCGACAUCGGCGGCUCCAGGAGGAUCAUCGUCUUCCACCACAUGGGUCUCCUCACGCAGGCUGAUGCCCGGCUCGGGAACGGGCCGCCUGACAGGUUCGCCGUCGCCGAGCUCAUCUUCGAUGGCGCCGCCUUCGAGCGGUUUCUCUCGGAUGAAGGGGAGUGGCGGACGGUGAUGGGCGUACCGCGCGGACCGCUGCUCCGGCGCCAGAUGGAGGUGAACCAGGAGACGGUUGCCUUCGGCGGCCGCCUGUGGUGGGUCGACCUGGCCUUUGGCGCCAUCUCCGUUGACCCCUUCGCCGACUGGCCGGAGACCCGCUUCGUCGAGCUGCCCAGCGGCAGCGUGCUCCCUGCGCGCGCAAGUACAAAUGACGGAGAUUUUGGGGAGCUCGAGGACAAGGUGAUGUUCAAGGAGGAGGUGGCCAAGCACCGGCGCAUCGGCGUAAGCGAGGGGCGGCUGCGCUACGCCGAGGUCUCUCCUCACGACCCGUUCCUGCUCAGUUCCUUUGCGCUCGACGGCGACGAGGGCAGCGGCUGGACGCUGGAGCACCAGGUGGCGCUCAGGCAGGUCUUGGCGGAUGGAGGCUACCCAUGGCAGGAGAACUCGACGCAGGCGGCGCCACAGAUCGCCGUGCUUGACCCGCUCAACGCCAAUGUCAUAUACCUCAAGGUCGGCGAGCACAUCGUCGUCGUGGACGUGAACAAUGGGAAGGUGAUUGGGGCCUCUCCGCUUGAAGAGGAGUACCUGUACCUUUCUCUUGUGCCAUGUGUGCUUCCACCAUGGCUUGGAUCAAGCCGGAUCCCUACCCCAGGAAAGAGCAAUGGCAUGGAAGCGACAGAUGAUCCGGUUAGUUGCAUCUGA